rnacentral:lncRNA from 1 species
AUUUUGGAAAACAGACGGGAUGGAGGGCGCCAGUGCAUAGUUAAAUCCGCUUUUAUUCCUUCUCCAUCAAGGCCAACCAAGCAGGUCUGGCCUUUUGCAUCGGGCCUCCUGCUCAAACGGGGUUGGACUAGAAGACCUCCAAGGUCCCUUCCGGCUCUCUUGUCUACAGAGAUUCUCCAGGUCUCCCGGUCGUCCCAAAGGGGCUUUUCCCACAAGGCAACUUUUGGACUUUCUUGGCACUUUUUUUUCCCUCCCCUUGACAACAUUUCACUUCUCAGCCAAGAAGCUUCCUCAGUUCGCGAAUAAGCUUCUUCCUGAACCGAGGAAGCUUCUUGGCUGAGAAGCGAAAUGUUGUCAAGGGGAGGGGAAAAAAAGUGCCAAGAAAGUCCAAACGUUGGGAAAAGCCCCUUUGGGACGGGAGUCUCUCUUCUUUCUGUCAUUCCCAUUUCAGUCGCAGGGCCCUUCUGCCCAAAAAAUUUUUUUGGGGGGGGCUUUGCUCCUCCUUUACGCUGCCCCCCCUCCCUCCUCCAAGUCUCUGCCAGGCACGGAGAGCUUCUGACGUCGUGGCGAGCUUUCCUCUUCCUUCUGCAGCUUCCUCCUCCUCUUCCUCCUCCCCCUCUUCCUCUUCCUCAACCCGGACGAGCCGGCGGUGGGGUGGCCCUUUGGCGGGACCGUCUGCAUGCUCUCAGGCAGACCAGCAGCAGCAGCAGCAGCAGCAUCCAGCUGGCUCCCCCCUCGGCCAGGCUCGUCACUCAAGAUGGCAUUGAAAGAGUCCCCCUGUCCCAUGGGGGGGGCCUGGGCACCCCCCUUCCCCAGUCCCUGCACAGCCGGCUGCUUGCGGGGGGAUCCCUCCCCAGUGGGGGGCUGCUGGUGGGCGAGGGGGGUGCGCGCCUUGUCCCGGGGGCCUUUUUUCUUCCUUUGCUUCUUCGCCCCCUUCCCCUUCUGGCCUCGGCCUCCCGCCUUCCCUUGGCCCUUCCGGAGCCUUGGGGGCAAGGGGCUCGCCCUGGCCUGGCUGGGCUGCCAGGUGGGAGGAGGGGGAGAGGUCCCCCAGGGUCGGAAGGGGGUCUGGGGGGGCAGAGUGGUGGUGGUGGUGGAAGAGGCCGGUUGGGGCCGGCGGGUGGCGAGGACGUCGAUGCGCUCUCCUCCGUAGUCAAACAUCACCGGCUCCUUCAGAACCGCCACGGCCGUCCGGCUGUAGUUCCUGCACCUAGGAAGGAAACAGCCGGGUAGCGGUGGGGUCCUUUGCAAAGGGGGGGGGNNNNNNNNNNN